CCUACGGUGGGCAGCAGUGAGGAAUAUUGGUCAAUGGACGAGAGUCUGAACCAGCCAAGUAGCGUGAAGGAUGACUGCCCUAUGGGUUGUAAACUUCUUUUAUAAAGGAAUAAAACGAGGCACGUGUGCCUUUUUGCAUGUACUUUAUGAAUAAGGAUCGGCUAACUCCGUGCCAGCAGCCGCGGUAAUACGGAGGGUCCGAGCGUUAUCCGGAUUUUUUGGGUUUAAAGGGAGCGUAAAUGGGUUGUUAAGUCAGUUGUGAAAGUUUGCGGCUCAACCGUAAAAUUGCAGUUGAUACUGGUGGUCUUGAGUGCGGUUGAGGUAGGCGGAAUGCGUGGUGUAGCGGUGAAAUGCUUAGAUAUCACGAAGAACCCCGAUUGCGAAGGCAGCAUACUAAACUGUGACUGACAUUGAUGCUCGAAAGUGUGGGUAUCAAACAGGAUUAGAUACCCCAGUAGUC
rnacentral:rRNA from 1 species